AGCGAACGCUGGCGGCAGGCUUAACACAUGCAAGUCGAGCGGGCAUCCUUGUGGUGUCAGCGGCAGACGGGUGAGUAACGCGUGGGAACGUGCCCUUCGGUUCGGAAUAACUCAGGGAAACUUGAGCUAAUACCGGAUACGUGCGAGAGCAGAAAGGUUUAUCUGCCGAAGGAUCGGCCCGCGUCUGAUUAGCUAGUUGGUGAGGUUACGGCUCACCAAGGCGACGAUCAGUAGCUGGUCUGAGAGGAUGAUCAGCCACACUGGGACUGAGACACGGCCCAGACUCCUACGGGAGGCAGCAGUGGGGAAUAUUGGACAAUGGGUGCAACCCUGAUCCAGCCAUGCCGCGUGAGUGAUGACGGCCUUAGGGUUGUAAAGCUCUUUUCUCCGGGACGAUAAUGACGGUACCGGAGGAAUAAGCCCCGGCUAACUUCGUG
rnacentral:rRNA from 1 species